rnacentral:rRNA from 1 species
GACGAACGCUGGCGGCGUGCUUAACACAUGCAAGUCGAACGGAAAGGCCCUGCUUUUGUGGGGUGCUCGAGUGGCGAACGGGUGAGUAACACGUGAGUAACCUGCCCUUGACUUUGGGAUAACUUCAGGAAACUGGGGCUAAUACCGGAUAGGAGCUCCUGCUGCAUGGUGGGGGUUGGAAAGUUUCGGCGGUUGGGGAUGGACUCGCGGCUUAUCAGCUUGUUGGUGGGGGAGUGGCUUACCAAGGCUUUGGCGGGUAGCCGGCCUGAGAGGGUGACCGGCCACCUUGGGCCUGCGAUACGGCCCAGUCGCCUACGGGGGGCAGCAGUGGGGAGUAUUGCACAAUGGGCGGGAGCCUGAUGCAGCGGCGCCGCGUGCGGAAUGACGGCCUUCGGGUUGUAAACCGCUUUCGCCUGUGACGAAGCGUGAGUGACGGUAAUGGGUAAAGAAGCACCGGCUAACUACGUG